CUUUUAGCUUCCCCCAUCCUGCAAGGCCACUCAACCAUGUGCUAGCUGGAGUGAUCUUUAUUCACAAUGUCUUUACAAAGGCUCCUGCAACACAGCAGCAAUGGCAAUUUGGCGGACUUCUGCGCUGGGUCAGCGUAUAGCUCUUACUCCACACUCACAGGCAGCCUUACGAUGGAUGAUAAUAGAAGGAUUCAAAUGCUGGCAGACACAGUGGCUACUCUGCCUCGGGGACGAAAGCAGCUUGCUUUGACCAGAUCAAGUUCUUUAAGUGACUUUUCCUGGUCUCAAAGGUAAAGAGAUUGAAUUAUUUUUUGUCUCUCCAAAAAUAUUUAGGAACAUAGCUCUCCAGACUGUUUUUUUCUCUCCCUUUCUCUCUCUCACGCACACACACAGACGCACACACACAGACACACACACAGAAUCUUACAUACUACAAUUUACAUAAAUGUCAGUUAUUUUUAAUUGUGACAGUUAUUUUUAAUGAUAAAUCUGUGCCAAAUGUGAUACUUUAAUUUUCAUGCAGUUUCUUUUUUAUACAUUUUUAUUGCAGAAAGCUUGU
rnacentral:sRNA from 1 species